AGGCAGCUACCUUUCGAGUAUGGAGUUGGAGGUGAAUCUGCAUCUUUCAUCCAUCACCAUAAGGCCGUGAGAUUUCCAGAGUGCUGAGGAGUGCAUUUUGCAUGAGAAUUAUUAGGAUUUCAUCCACUGGUUUGCAGAACAACUCGGACUAUAGUGACAGGGAUGUCCAUCAGCUAGGCCUUCAUGUCCUUUGAAAUGCAAGUAAGCUUUUCAGUUUCCCCCUUGUUGCGCUUUCUGAGAGGAUGUGAAUAUUUUCUGUCAACUUUGGUA